ensembl:snRNA U5 U5 spliceosomal RNA
GCACUCUUGUUUCUCUCCAAAUCGUAUAAAUCUUUCGCCUUUUACUAAAGAUUUCCGUGGAGAGAAACAACAAGAGUUGAAUCCAAUUUUUUUGUGCCCUGCUGAUCAGUAGGGU